GAUGAACGCUGGCGGCGUGCCUAAUACAUGCAAGUCGAGCGAAUGGAUUAAGAGCUUGCUCUUAUGAAGUUAGCGGCGGACGGGUGAGUAACACGUGGGUAACCUGCCCAUAGGACUGGGAUAACUCCGGGAAACCGGGGCUAAUACCGGAUAACAUUUUGAACCGCAUGGUUCGAAAUUGAAAGGCGGCUUCGGCUGUCACUUAUGGAUGGACCCGCGUCGCAUUAGCUAGUUGGUGAGGUAACGGCUCACCAAGGCAACGAUGCGUAGCCGAACUGGGAGGGUGAUCGGCCACACUGGGACGGAGACCCGGCCCAGAAUCCUACGGGAGGCAGCAGUAGGGAAUCUUCCGAAAUGGACGAAAGUCUGACGGAGCAACGCCGCGUGAGUGAUGAAGGCUUUCGGGUCGUAAAACUCUGUUGUUAGGGAAGAACAAGUGCUAGUUGAAUAAGCUGGCACCUUGACGGUACCUAACCAGAAAGCCACGGCUAACUACGUGCCAGCAGCCGCGGUAA
rnacentral:rRNA from 1 species